CAGCCUCAGUGUUACGGUGUCUGUCACGUUGUGGAGACGGAUACAAAAGAUAACCAAAGAAAGAAAGAAAGAAAAGAACAAGAAAGAACAGUACAAGAUCACUCAUAUUUUCCUUCGUGUGUUUUGAGAAAAAGGACAAAAAAAAGAAGGAAAAAUGUGAAAAUAAAAACCUUUUGCUUCGAACACGUUUCCGAGCGUUCGAGCGACAAAGCGAACCACCACCACCACCACCGCCGCCGCCACCACCACCAUCACCACCGCCGCCACCACCACCACCACCCCCUGAUCCUCUGACUUACGUAUUUCUCUCUCUCUCUCUCUCUCUCUCUCUCUCUCUCUCUCUCUCUCUCUCUGCCAGUCAUCAUGGGGGUGCUAACUCUCCUCCUCUUGGGGUGUGUGUGUGUGGGCUGGGGGGGCGCUCACCUGAUGGACAACCUGGUGGGGGGCGCGAGUCUCCCCACCUGCCCCGCCCUCCUGCACGCCGCCCACCGCCGCCACCUCCACACCGCGGCGCCCAUGCCCCCGCCCGUCCGCGGCAGGUGGCUCUCGUCCAGGUGAGUUGGCG